rnacentral:rRNA from 1 species
UACGUAGGGUGCAAGCGUUAUCCGGAAUUAUUGGGCGUAAAGAGCUCGUAGGCGGUUUGUCGCGUCUGCUGUGAAAACCCGAGGCUCAACCUCGGGCCUGCAGUGGGUACGGGCAGACUAGAGUGCGGUAGGGGAGAUUGGAAUUCCUGGUGUAGCGGUGGAAUGCGCAGAUAUCAGGAGGAACACCGAUGGCGAAGGCAGAUCUCUGGGCCGUAACUGACGCUGAGGAGCGAAAGCAUGGGGAGCGAACAGG